ACUACGGGAGGCAGCAGUGGGGAAUAUUGCACAAUGGGGGAAACCCUGAUGCAGCGACGCCGCGGGAGUGAAGAAGUAAUUCGUUAGGUAAAGCUCGAUCAGCAGGGAAGAAAAUGACGGUACCUGAGUAAGAAGCCCCGGCUAACUACGUGCCAGCAGCCGCGGUAAGACGUAGGGGGCAAGCGUUAUCCGGAUUUACUGGGUGUAAAGGGAGCGUAGACGGCAGUGCAAGUCUGGAGUGAAAGGCGGGGGCUCAACCCCCGGACUGCUCGGGAGAGUGUACGGCUGGAGUGCCGGAGAGGUCAGUGGAAUUCCUCGUGUAGCGGUGAAAUGCGUCGAUAUUAGGAGGCCCCCCAGUGGCGCAGGCGGCUUACUGGACUGUAACUGCCGUUGAGGCUCGACCGCGUGGGGAGCAAACAGGAUUAGAUCCCCCUGUAGUC
rnacentral:rRNA from 1 species